UCAACCUAUUUAUCUUAGAGAACAGCAAUUCAACUAUCUGGCUGGCUUGACAAAUAAACUAUACACCAACAAUUUGUGCAAGGCAAUUAAGUGUAUCCUUGGAAAAUUUUCUCUGAGAUUAUGCAGUGAUGCUUACAACUUUUUUGUUUAAGCCUAGUGACUUAUUUCAGUUCGUGCAUGAAAAUCAUCCCACCUUUCAUCGUGUCCUGACAAACUGGGAUCAUGUAAACAGCACAUUUAGCCAUUUGCACCCUAAUUUUCCUACUUAUAUUAUUUAACUCUGUCUAACGUCAGACAAUUUUAUUAAGCAGGGGGUGCACUGGCAGUUAAUGGGUAACUAGACACAUAGGCAGUCUCAUUAUGAAGCAUAAAAUCGUCUAGCGUUGGACAGUAAAAUACUCGAGUAGAGCAUGCAUCAGGUCACAGUACAACCUAACGGUUUAAUUUGUUUUUGUAGCAAAAUGGUUUAAGUUUUAUAUCUUAUAUUUUAUUUAAGUUUUAUAUUUUAGGCCAUUGUUUGUUUUGUUGUUCUGGGUACAAUGAAAUCCGGCAUAAAUCCUGGCGGUCUAAAUGUUCAGUAUAUUUACAAAUUCGAUCUAUUUUCUGUUCAGUAGACUUUGAUAGCUUAAACGAAAUAUAACGAUGAUUUUCUCUGCAAAAACUGUACUUCCGAAAUUCGUCAGCUUCUGAAUUUGAAAACCAAUCUGAAAAAAAAACCAUUUGAGUGUAUGGUUAUUGCAUGGUUCUAUAUAUAUUCUAUAUAUACUGCCAUUGUGCACACGCAUAACAAGUGCAGCAACGCAACAGUUUAGACAGGGUCAUGAGGCAGGAUGUGUACAAGAAAAGCUUUGCCAGAGUUUUGUCUUUCGAAAUAGAACGACGAUUGGAAAUUGCUGUUUGAUUCUUUGUAAUACCUUGUCGCUUAUUUGUCACUUUCCUCAUCUAAACCUUUUUUCAAAAAACUGGCAUCGUUUGUCUUGGGGUUAGGGGGUACAAAUGGUACCCAUAGCUUAGAGGGUGCAAAUGGUACCCGUAAGAAGACUUGGUGGAAAUCGUGUUGGUCGUUUGGAUUGGCGAGAAUAAGGCAACAAUUAUGGUGGCAAAGUUUUUUCAAACAUUUUCUCUCCCGUAGUAAGGUAAAGCAUGUAUUUUCCUGGUAGCCGGUCUUACUUCAUGAAAAAAAACCAGUCCGCUACCAGCGACUAGGUCCCCUCUCUUAUGCGGCUCAAUAUCUUCAGGUAUAUUCCUUUUCAGGGCGGUUGCAUGCGGAUAAUAUGGUCCGUCGCGCGUGCGCAAAAUAGUUAGGGAGUUAGACAGUUUAGAAGCGUCCAAACUGAGCAAUAUACGACACUCGCAUGAAACGUAAAAUAGUUUAUAAUAAUUCACAAAAUUGCGAAAACAAAAAAUUGACAAUUUUGCAAUUUGAAUUGUGCGUUUCUGGCAAAUGCCUUUAGAUUCAAGUUGUAACGACAAUUUACAAGCGCAUUAAGUGUAAAUACGGCAUUAUUUCUAAUGAAAAGACCGCCAGGGUUAGAGUGUUUUUAUGUUGGUUUAUUAAGGAGCAAACUCGCUUUUUAAAAAAAGAAAUAUGUAUUCAUUUCGAUCCAGAUUUGUUCCUGAACAUGGUCGCCAUGAAAACACUCUGAAGAGCGAGCUCAGCGGUCCUAAUAGCGUCGUCGGAAGUUUGCAUUCAGCAUUUUC
rnacentral:lncRNA from 1 species